rfam:Rhodnius prolixus Rhodnius_prolixus-3.0.3-192.16, whole genome shotgun sequence.
UCAACGGCCCUUUUCAGGGCCACCAAUCUAUAUCACUUAAUUUAUA